rnacentral:lncRNA from 1 species
GUCCUAGGGCUCAGGUCCUCCGAGAGAGAGAAAGAAAGAGAGAAAGAGAGAAUUAGAGAGAGCAUACUUAAAUUCACACAGGACACCGGAUAAGACAGGAGAAAUACUCCAGAUAUAACAGACUGACCCUAGCCCCCCGACACAUAAACUACUGCAGCAUAAAUACUGGAGGCUGAGACAGGAGGGGUCAGGAAACACUGUGGCCCCAUCCGACGAUAGCCCCAGACAGGGCCAAACAGGAAGGAUAUAACCCCACCCACUUUGCCAAAGCACAGCCCCCACACCACUAGAGGGAUAUCUUCAACCACCAACUUACCAUCCUGAGACAAGGCCGAGUAUAGCCAACAAAGAUCUCUGCCACGGAACAACACAAGGGGGGGGCGCCAACCCAGACAGGAAGACCACGUCAGUGACUCAAUCCACUCAAGUGACGCACCCCUCCUAGGGACGGCAUGGAAGAACACCAAUAAGCCAGUGACUCAGCCCCUGUAAUAGGGUUAGAGGCAGAGAAUCCCAGUGGAGAGAGGGGAACCGGCCAGGCAGAGACAGCAAGGGCGGUUCGUUGCUCCAGAGCCUUUCCGUUCACCUUCACACUCCUGGGCCAGACUACACUCAAUCAUAGGACCCACUGAAGAGAUGAGUCUUCAGUAAAGACUUAAAGGUUGAGACCGAGUCUGCGUCUCUCACAUGGUUAUAGUCGCUGCCACGCCCCCAGGGGCCAAAUCUGAGGUGUCUCCAUCUUUUCAUGACAGAAUAAAGGUCCUGUUCAACAGAGCCCACUAGGCAGAACAAGAGGACAUCCUCCAUCGUUCAGACGCCCACAUCCUACUUCAAGAAAAGGAGGUCGUGAUGGUUUUCAGGAACCAGUUUCAAUCAGAAAGGAGCAGCAGGCAUGUCAUGUACUUGCGUUGAUUUAUUUCAUUAGGGUGACAUACCCACACCAGGUUUCCACAUGUUGCCUUGAAGAAUAAUACCGUUUUUAUUUUUAGAAGCAGGCGAGAAACUUCCAGAAACCCUCAGAUGUGAGAGAAUAUGAGGGACAUGUCCUUCAGUACAGGACAACCACUUGAUUUUCAGGUUAUAAAAGCAGGAAGGCAGCCAUGCUGUGUACCUCAAACUGUCUGAACCAGCAUGCUCUCUGGUUACUGCUAAUG